UGGGGAAUAUUGCGCAAUGGGCGAAAGCCUGACGCAGCAACGCCGCGUGAGUGAUGAAGGCCUUCGGGUCGUAAAGCUCUGUCGGAGGGAACGAAUGCUCCUAAAGUUAACAGCCUCAGGAGGUGACGGUACCCUCAAAGGAAGCACCGGCUAACUCUGUGCCAGCAGCCGCGGUAAUACAGAGGGUGCAAGCGUUAAUCGGAAUUACUGGGCGUAAAGCGUGCGCAGGCGGUUGUGCAAGACAGGUGUGAAAUCCCCGGGCUUAACCUGGGAACUGCACUUGUGACUGCACAGCUGGAGUACGGCAGAGGGGGAUGGAAUUCCGCGUGUAGCAGUGAAAUGCGUAGAUAUGCGGAGGAACACCGAUGGCGAAGGCAGUCCCCUGGGCCUGUACUGACGCUCAUGCACGAAAGCGUGGGGAGCAAACAGGAUUAGAUACCCAUGUAGUCCCUGAGCGGGCUGGCAAGGCGCAU
rnacentral:rRNA from 1 species